rnacentral:rRNA from 1 species
AUUGAACGCUGGCGGCAGGCCUAACACAUGCAAGUCGAGCGAGCGGCGGACGGGUGAGUAAUGUCUGGGAAACUGCCUGAUGGAGGGGGAUAACUACUGGAAACGGUAGCUAAUACCGCAUACCAUCAGAUGUGCCCAUAUGGGAUUAGCUAGUAGGUGGGGUAACGGCUCACCUAGGCGGCGAUCCCUAGCUGGUCUGAGAGGAGGACCAGCCAGACUGGAACUGAGGCACAGACGAGACUCCUACGGGAGGCAGCAGUGGGAAAUAUUGCAAAGGGGGCGCAGGCCUGGUUCAGCCAUACCGCGUGUGUUAAGAAGGCCUUAGGGUUGAGAAGCACUUUCAGCGGGGAGGCGUUACCCGCAGAAGAAGCACCGGCUAACUCCGUGCCAGCAGCCGCGGUAAUUC